rnacentral:rRNA from 2 species
CUUUAUUGGAGAGUUUGAUCCUGGCUCAGGACGAACGCUGGCGGCGUGCCUAAUACAUGCAAGUCGAGCGGACUUUAAAAGCUUGCUUUUAAAGUUAGCGGCGGACGGGUGAGUAACACGUGGGCAACCUGCCUGUAAGACUGGGAUAACUUCGGGAAACCGGAGCUAAUACCGGAUAAUCCUUUUCCUCUCAUGAGGAAAAGCUGAAAGACGGUUUACGCUGUCACUUACAGAUGGGCCCGCGGCGCAUUAGCUAGUUGGUGAGGUAACGGCUCACCAAGGCGACGAUGCGUAGCCGACCUGAGAGGGUGAUCGGCCACACUGGGACUGAGACACGGCCCAGACUCCUACGGGAGGCAGCAGUAGGGAAUCUUCCGCAAUGGACGAAAGUCUGACGGAGCAACGCCGCGUGAGUGAUGAAGGUUUUCGGAUCGUAAAACUCUGUUGUUAGGGAAGAACAAGUACAAGAGUAACUGCUUGUACCUUGACGGUACCUAACCAGAAAGCCAC